rnacentral:rRNA from 1 species
UAGUCCACGCCGUAAACGAUGCUAGCUAGUUGUCGGAAUGUAAUGUUUCGGUAACAAAGGUAACCCAUUAAGCUAGCUGCCUGGGGAGUACGGUCGCAAGAUUAAAACUCAAAGGAAUUGACGGGGACCCGCACAAGCGGUGGAGCAUGUGGUUUAAUUCGAGGCAACGCGAAGAACCUUACCACCUCUUGACAUGCCUAUCGCGGAACUCAGAGACGAGUUCCUUCAGUUCGGCUGGAUAGUGCACAGGUGCUGCAUGGCUGUCGUCAGCUCGUGUCGUGAGAUGUUGGGUUAAGUCCCGCAACGAGCGCAACCCUUACUGUUAGUUGCCAGCAUUUAGUUGGGCACUCUAACGGGACUGCCGGUGAUAAGCCGGAGGAAGGCGGGGGAUGACGUCAAGUCCUCAUGGGCCCUUAUGAGGGUGGGGCUACACACGUGCUACAAUGGUAGUGACAAU